rnacentral:lncRNA from 1 species
AUCCCUCCAACUCCAAAAUUUCCCUAAUUUCCAUUUUCACUUCCCCCCAUCAUUUCCCUCUCAAAUAAAAUUUCCCUAAUUCGAUUUUGACAAAACCCUAACUGCAAUUUCAUUUCCACAAAGAAGACCUAAUUCCAUUUCACAUUCGCUCUUAAGCAAAACCCUAAUUUCAUUUUUGUGUUCUUCUAGUGUUUCUGUUGUUCGUUUUUGCUCCCGAAUUUUUCUUGAUCUAUCGUUCAUCUGGGUUACUUUCGUUCGUCUAGGUUGCUUUCUUUCAUUUGGGUUCCUCUCAUUCUUGUGUUUGUCUGGCUUCCUUUCAUUCAUUUGGGUUCCUCUUGUUCCAUUUAAUUCUUGUGUACCUUUCGUUCCUCUAAUCAAUUCAAUCUUUUGUUGCUACUCUUAAUUCACAUUCACUCCUAAUUUCAUCACCACCUAAUACCCAUUUUCCACACACAAUGACACUAUUGGGCUCAGUCUUUCAAGUAUCUAAUUCGUUGAAAUAUAUUCCAAAGAAAGGUAUCUAAUUUGUUUGUUUGUUUGUGUUUUGUGCUAGGAUUGCUUCAUAUGUUGAUUUGUCAUCUCAGGAUAAAGAGGAUGGAUAUUAGCUUAAUAGGUAUUUUAUUCAUUUGAUUUGAUUUCUCUAUUACUACAGUUUGUUCUCUACAGUAAUUUAUCCGCUUUUCUUCCUGCUAUGUUAUGAAUUGAUUUCUUUGUUGGUUUUAUUUUCCAUUAACUUUUGAUGUACGUUCUUUCAUUUUUGUAAUCAAAUUAAGAAAUGUUGGCACUAAAAGGGGCGUGAGUUUCAUUUGUAAACUCAUUGCCUAUGUAUGACAAUGUGACAUUUGACAAACUCUUAGCUACAACUAGUUGGCUAAGUUGUGUUUUAUGCACCAUUGCAGCAG